UCCAGACUCCUACGGGAGGCAGCAGUGGAGAAUAUUGGACAAUGGGGGGAACCCUGAUCCAGCGACGCCGCGUGAGUGAAGAAGUAUUUCGGUAUGUAAAGCCCUAUCAGCAGGGAAGAAAGGAAUGACGGUACCUGACUAAGAAGCCCCAGCUAACUACGUGCCAGCAGCCGCGGUAAUACGUAGGGGGCAAGCGUUAUCCGGAUUUACUGGGUGUAAAGGGAGCGUAGACGGUUACGCAAGUCUGGAGUGAAAGGCGGGGGCCCAACCCCCGGACUGCUUUGGAAACUGUAUAACUGGAGUGCAGGAGAGGUAAGUGGAAUUCCUAGUGUAGCGGUGAAAUGCGUAGAUAUUAGGAGGAACACCGGUGGCGAAGGCGGCUCACUGGACUGUAACUGACGUUGAGGCUCGAAAGCGUGGGGAGCAAACAGGAUUAGAUACCCGGGUAC
rnacentral:rRNA from 1 species